rnacentral:rRNA from 1 species
AAUCAACGCUGGCGGCGUGCCUCAGACAUGCAAGUCGAACGAUUAAAGCUCUCUUCGGAGAGUGUAUAGAGUGGCGCACGGGUGAGUAACACGUAAGUAAUCUACCCUCGGGUGGGAAUAACAUCGGGAACCGAUGCUAAUACCGCAUAAUGCAGCGGCUCCUUAUGGAGACAGUUGUUAAAGGAUUUAUUCGCCUGGGGAGGAGCUUGCGGCAGAUUAGCUAGUUGGUAAGGUAAUGGCUUACCAAGGCUACGAUCUGUAGCCGGUCUAAGAGGACGGUCGGUCACACUGACACUGAAUAACGGGUCAGACUCCUACGGGAGGCAGCAGUCGGGAAUUUUGGGCAAUGGGCGAAAGCCUGACCCAGCAACGCCGCGUGAAGGAUGAAGUAUUUCGGUAUGUAAACUU